rnacentral:rRNA from 1 species
AGUGAACGCUGGCGGUAGGCCUAACACAUGCAAGUCGAACGGCAGCACAGUAAGAGCUUGCUCUUACGGGUGGCGAGUGGCGGACGGGUGAGGAAUACAUCGGAAUCUACUUUUUCGUGGGGGAUAACGUAGGGAAACUUACGCUAAUACCGCAUACGACCUACGGGUGAAAGCAGGGGAUCUUCGGACCUUGCGCGAUUGAAUGAGCCGAUGUCGGAUUAGCUAGUUGGGGGGGUAAAGGCCCACCAAGGCGCCGAUCCGUAGCUGGUCUGAGAGGAUGAUCAGCCACAUUGGAACUGAGACACGGUCCAGACUCCUACGGGAGGCAGCAGUGGGGAAUAUUGGACAAUGGGCGCAAGCCUGAUCCAGCCAUACCGCGUGGGUGAAGAAGGCCUUCGGGUUGUAAAGCCCUUUUGUUGGGAAAGAAAAGCAGCAGGUUAAUACCCCGCUGUUCUGACGGUACCCAAAGAAUAAGCACCGGCUAACUUCGUG